rnacentral:rRNA from 1 species
UACGAAGGGGGCUAGCGUUGUUCGGAAUUACUGGGCGUAAAGCGUAUGCAGGCGGACUUUUAAGUCGGGGGUGAAAUCCCGAGGCUCAACCUCGGAACUGCCUUCGAUACUGGAAGUCUUGAGUCCGGGAGAGGUGAGUGGAACUCCGAGUGUAGAGGUGAAAUUCGUAGAUAUUCGCAAGAACACCAGUGGCGAAGGCGGCUCACUGGCCCGAUACUGACGCUGAGGUGCGAAAGCGUGGGGAGCAAACAGG